rnacentral:rRNA from 1 species
GGGCCCGCACAAGCGGAGGAACAUGUGGUUUAAUUCGAUGAUACGCGAGGAACCUUACCCGGGCUAGAACGCAGAUGGAAUGUAUGGGAAACUGUACAGCCUUUAUGGCCGUUUGCGAGGUGCUGCAUGGUUGUCGUCAGCUCGUGCCGUGAGGUGUCGGCUUAAGUGCCAUAACGAGCGCAACCCCUAUUGUCAGUUGCCAGCGGGUCAAGCCGGGGACUCUGGCAAAACUGCCGGCGUAAGCCGCGAGGAAGGUGGGGAUGACGUCAAAUCAGCACGGCCCUUACGUCCGGGGCGACACACGUGUUACAAUGGGCGGUACAGAGGGUAGCUACCGGGCGACCGGAUGGCCAAUCUUCAAAGCCGUUCUCAGUUCGGAUCGGAGUCUGCAACCCGACUCCGUGAAGCUGGAUUCGCUAGUAAUCGCGCAUCAGCCAUGGCG